rnacentral:rRNA from 1 species
AACGAACGCUGGCGGUAUGCUAACACAUGCAAGUCGAACGAACAAAAUUGGAGCUUGCUCCAAUUUUAGUGAGUGGCAAACGGGUGAGUAACACGUGGGAAUCUACCUAUCAGUACGGAAUAACAUUUGGAAACAGAUGCUAAUACCGUAUAUUCUCUAAAGAGGAAAGAUUUAUCGCUGAUAGAUGAGCCCGCGUAAGAUGAGGUAGUUGGUAGGGUAAUAGCCUACCAAGCCGACGAUCUUUAGCUGGUCUGAGAGGAUGACCAGCCACACGGGGGCUGAGACACGGCCCAGACUCCUACGGGAGGCAGCAGUGGGGAAUAUUGGACAAUGGGCGAAAGCCUGAUCCAGCAAUACCGCGUGAAUGAUGAAGGCCUUAGGGUUGUAAAAUUCUUUUAGUUGGAAAGAUAAUGACGGUACCAACAGAAAAAGCCCCGGCUAACUCCGUGCCAGCCGCCGCGGUAA